rnacentral:piRNA from 2 species
UGGUGACUAGAUUUCUGCACUUCUCGAAAC